rnacentral:rRNA from 1 species
UACAGAGGUCUCAAGCGUUGUUCGGAUUCAUUGGGCGUAAAGGGCUCGUAGGUGGCCAACUAAGUCAGACGUGAAAUCCCUCGGCUUAACCGGGGAACUGCGUCUGAUACUGGAUGGCUCGAGUUCGGGAGAGGGAUGCGGAAUUCCAGGUGUAGCGGUGAAAUGCGUAGAUAUCUGGAGGAACACCGGUGGCGAAGGCGGCAUCCUGGACCGACACUGACACUGAGGAGCGAAAGCCAGGGGAGCAAACGGG